GAUGAACGCUGGCGGCGUGCUUAACACAUGCAAGUCGAACGGAAAGGCUCCUGCUUGCAGGGGCGCUCGAGUGGCGAACGGGUGAGUAACACGUGGGUGAUCUGCCCUGCACUUCGGGAUAAGCCUGUGAAACUGAGUCUAAUACCUGAUAGGACCAUCCUUUAGUGUCGGUGGUGGAGAGUUUUUUCGGUGUGGGAUGAGCUCGCGGCCUAUCAGCUUGUUGGUGGGGUAAUGGCCUACGAAGGCGUCGGCGGGUCGCCGGCCUGAGAGGGUGUACGGCCACAUUGGGACUGAGAUACGGCCCAGACUCCUACGGGAGGCAGCAGUGGGGAAUAUUGCGCAAUGGGCGCAAGCCUGAUGCAGCGACGCCGCGUGGGGGAUGACGGCCUUCGGGUUGUAAACUUCUUUCGACAGGGACGAAGCGAAAGUGACGGUACCUGGAUAAGAAGCACCGGCUAACUACGUG
rnacentral:rRNA from 1 species